GACUCGGACCCAUGCGGUUCUGACGCCCAAAUCUGGUCAGGACCGGAAGGUAGCAGCCACACGGGAUGCUCAGGACAGGCGUGGACUCCGGGUCACC
rnacentral:SRP_RNA from 16 species